UACGUAGGCAGCAAGCGUUGUUCGGAGUUACUGGGCGUAAAGGGUGUGUAGGCGGUUCUUUAAGUUUGGUGUGAAAUCUCCCGGCUCAACUGGGAGGGUGCGCCGAAUACUGAGGGACUAGAGUACGGGAGAGGAAAGUGGAAUUCCUGGUGUAGCGGUGAAAUGCGUAGAUAUCAGGAGGAACACCGGUGGUGUAGACGGCUUUCUGGACCGUAACUGACGCUGAGACACGAAAGCGUGGGUAGCAAGACGG
rnacentral:rRNA from 1 species